rnacentral:lncRNA from 1 species
CUCCGUCAUUCAUAUAAUCUAUUUAUAUAUUCCAGGAGUCUCAACAACUCUGUAAUUUUUGCGCAUCAGACAUAAAGACAACCCCAAUGAGCGCAGAAAUAAGAGACAAAAGAAAGCCGACAAUGUUUACAACUUUCACAUCCUGACAGUAGUAAAUAUCCUCUUUUCCAUGAUAGCCACACAGGUUCUUCAAAAAGAAAACGGACUGCAAAACAGCACCAAAACAGCAACAGCAUGUAAAUUUAAAAACCAUAGAAUCGAGGCAGCUUCUUACAGUGUCAAAUUUGGAGGAUAUAAUAUUGCCGCCAAGGCCGACCUGAACCAGAUUCAC